GAUGAACGCUGGCGGCGUGCCUAAUACAUGCAAGUCGAACGCUGGAACUCUAGCUUGCUAGAUUGAAGGAGUGGCGAACGGGUGAGUAAUACAUAAGCAACCUACCCACGAAGACUGGGAUAAUCUCUGGAAACGGGGACUAAUACCGGAUAGGUAAUCGGAAGGCAUCUUCUGAUUAUUAAAGGUUAAAAACACUGGUGGAUGGGCUUAUGGCGCAUUAGUUAGUUGGUGAGGUAACGGCCCACCAAGACGAUGAUGCGUAGCCGGCCUGAGAGGGUGAACGGCCACAUUGGGACUGAGACACGGCCCAGACUCCUACGGGAGGCAGCAGUAGGGAAUUGUCGGCAAUGGGGGAAACCCUGACCGAGCAAGGCCGCGUGAGUGAUGACGGCCUUCGGGUUGUAAAGCUCUGUUGUAAGGGAAGAACGGUAGAUAGAGAAUAUCUAAAUGACGGUACCUUACCAGAAAGCCACGGCUAACUACGUG
rnacentral:rRNA from 1 species